UACAGCCAUGACACGUCGAAACACCGGUUCUCAUACGAUCACCAAAGUUAAGCAAGAUCGAGUGUGGUUAGUAUCUAGAUGGGUGACCAUCUUUGGAAUACCAGGUGAUGUAAG